rnacentral:rRNA from 1 species
AUUGAACGCUGGCGGCAGGCCUAACACAUGCAAGUCGAGCGGAUGAGGGAAGCUUGCUUCCCGGUUUAGCGGCGGACGGGUGGGUAAUGCCUAGGAAUCUGCCUAUUAGUGGGGGAUAACGUUCCGAAAGGAACGCUAAUACCGCAUACGUCCUACGGGAGAAAGUGGGGGAUCUUCGGACCUCACGCUAAUAGAUGAGCCUAGGUCGGAUUAGCUAGUUGGUGAGGUAACGGCUCACCAAGGCGACGAUCCGUAGCUGGUCUGAGAGGAUGAUCAGCCACACUGGAACUGAGACACGGUCCAGACUCCUACGGGAGGCAGCAGUGGGGAAUAUUGGACAAUGGGCGAAAGCCUGAUCCAGCCAUGCCGCGUGUGUGAAGAAGGUCUUCGGAUUGUAAAGCACUUUAAGUUGGGAGGAAGAGUUGUAAGCUAAUAUCUUGCAGCUUUGACGUUACCAACAGAAUAAGCACCGGCUAACUCUGUGCCAGCAGCCGCGGUAACAC